AUGCCAGACUCCUACGGGAGGCAGCAGUGAGGAAUAUUGGUCAAUGGGAGGAAUCCUGAACCAGCCAUGCCGCGUGCAGGACGACGGCUCUACGAGUUGUAAACUGCUUUUGUACCGGGGUAAAAUGCCUUACGAGUAGGGUUUUGAAAGUACGGUACGAAUAAGGAUCGGCUAACUCCGUGCCAGCAGCCGCGGUAAUACGUAGGGAGCGAGCGUUAUCCGGAUUUAUUGGGUGUAAAGGGUGCGUAGACGGGAAAAUAAGUUAGUUGUGAAAUCCCUCGGCUCAACUGAGGAACUGCAACUAAAACUAUUUUUCUUGAGUGCAGGAGAGGAAAGUGGAAUUCCUAGUGUAGCGGUGAAAUGCGUAGAUAUUAGGAGGAACACCAGUGGCGAAGGCGACUUUCUGGACUGUAACUGACGUUGAGGCACGAAAGUGUGGGGAGCAAACAGGAUUAGAUACCCUUGUAU
rnacentral:rRNA from 1 species